GAGUGGGUGUGAUGCUAUGUAGAGUGUACCAUUGUAUGGUAGACAAGCUAAACCAACCAAAUUUUAGUUUGCUGUUA